UGUUUAGAGCUAGCGCUUUUCUCUGA
rnacentral:piRNA from 2 species